rnacentral:rRNA from 1 species
CCUACGGGAGGCAGCAGUGAGGAAUAGUGGUCAAUGGGCGCGAGCCUGAACCAGCCAAGUCGCGUGAGGGAAGACGGUCCUAUGGAUUGUAAACCUCUUUUGUCGGGGAGCAAAAGACGGCACGCGUGGCGUGCCGAGAGUACCCGAAGAAAAAGCAUCGGCUAACGCCGUGCCAGCAGCCGCGGUAAUACGGAGGAUGCGAGCGUUAUCCGGAUUUAUUGGGUUGCAAGGGUGCGCAGGCGGAAGAUCAAGUCAGCGGUAAAAUUGAGAGGCUCACCCUCGUCGAGCCGUUGAUACUGGUUUUCUUGAGUGAGUGCGCCGUCUGCUGAAUGCGUGGUGUCGCGGUGACAUGCAUAGCUAUCACGC